CUGACCCCCCAGGAUACCACUCACCAUUGCUCUCUGUGCAGACAAUGAGCUUGUGACCACAACCCUUUGCAUGCAGCCAUUCAGGGUUUUCCUGCUGACUAGCCUUACACAUAUGGAUCAACCAUCCAUACUCACUGGGGUGUAGCAGGUAUAUUCUUCAAGUGUUUCUUUAAGGCAUUUGGAAUUCAAGUACAUGAUGGCCACUGCUAAAGAGACACACUGAACUAGAAUCACAUCAAAAGUUGCUUUGCCAUUUGUGUUUUUCAGCCAACUUCUACAUGAAAGAGUAAUAAAUUCUACAUAGAAAUUUAA